CUGUGAACUUGAAAGUGCUGUCAAUUUCUUACUGAUUAGUCAUUUCAAAAUACCAGGUCCUCUGAAGUUAAUGAGUUACAAUGUCAACUCUUAAACAGAUAAACACAUGUGUAACUAGAACACAUAUAGUUCUGGGCUGAUCCUUACAUAGAUGAGAUACUGUUGUGUUUAGCAACAUCUAAAUAUAAAUAAAGGUAAAAUAUAAGUACCCAUACGAGAUUUUGUGGCAGUCACUUUGUAAAGAGAAGCACACAGAACAUAUACUUACUCUGUCUCCUUUAGGACCUGCGGGGCCAUGGGGACCAACUGAGCCAUCUAUACCCUGCAAAAGGAAACAAAGAGGAGAAAGAGACUCAGAGAUGCAGGGUGCCUAUCGUGUCCUGUGACAACACAGGGGAGCCUUUGAUUCCUCAGAACCAAGGUCUUCUGUCACCAGUGAGAAGGACCUGCCUCCUACUCUCAUGAAAGGGAGCUGAAUGCACAGCAUUUACUGUUUGAUGUACUACGGAUUCAAAGAGCAAAUUCCCCAGCUUCAGAUGGCCUCAUGCAGCACAGAGUCAUUAUAACUCCUGCAGAACCUUUACUGCAGAAGCAGCCUCAGCCGCACAGCACCCAGGGGCAUUUCUUCCCCUGGAAGGAAGAACAGAGCAGCAUUACCUGGUCUAUGUCCUUCCAAACAUACCACAUGCCUCUGACAGUUUGAUUCCCCUUACAGGAAUAUAUGAAAGGGAUUCUAGUCAAUCCUUAUUUUGUUCCCUAACAGGUACAUGUGAAAAAAGAUUCUAGUCAAUACUUAUUUUCUUCCUAAUGAGAUGUAAUAAUGUACCAUAGUCUGAAGGUUAAUAGUCAGUCAAACAUGCAGGGUUAGCUUGUGAUCACUGAAGGAACAGAGCCAUUCUUUGUUAGUCUCACCGGCUGCAACUGCAUAGGUUUUCAAUACAAGAAGUGUGCUGUGGCUAGAAGGGAAGGUGGGUUAGUCUAAUAUCACUUUUCAUGUUAAUUAGUAUCAUCAUUCCUGUGCUUUUUUAAAAUACAAAAUGAACAUACACCAAAUAUGUACAGGCCUUGGCCAGCUAAACUGUACAGCCUUGGGCUAAUCUGAGUACAGGGACCAGGGGUAACAUUGAUGUAACAUCGUUUAUCACAAAUCCAACAGAAAAGGAAAACUGAACAAUUCCAAGUAAUACCUUUUGUCCAGGCCGUCCGGAUUCACCAGGUUCACCCUAAAGGAAACAGAUGAAAGAUGAGAUCUGAAUAAAUGAAUUAAAGAUAAAGAUAUAGAAAAUCAUAACAUUAAUGAUAUCCACAGUGUCUGUGACACUGCAAAGUAACAUGGACCAACCACCCCUCUUCUACCUUCACAACUGCUUUAAAAGCACAUUACCUUGAUUCCUGCAGCAGAAGAACCAGGGUCACCCUGAUACAAAAUCCACAAGAAAUAAUCACACUUAUUACAUAUACAGUUUUCCAGGAAACACUUAUAACAAAUCAUGUAAGACUAUGGCAACAUUAUAUGGCAAAAUAACUAUACAGCAAGAUUGCCUGUUCUUGGUGCGGCUACACAGGAAUUUAACUAAUGAAUUCAAUCAGCGUGACUCAGAAAAGGAACAGUAUUGUUGUCAAGAUCAUGCAGAGAGAUUUAGUUUCACUCACCCAAACAGUGUAACAGUUAACCUCAAAUUUUACAACUAAUAAUGUAGACAUAGUAAUUGCAGAUUUUGUAUAAAUGCACUUCACAAAGCCAGAAGAAGGGACAUACUUUGACAUCUCUAAAUUGCUGAUCUACAUUAAAAUAAUUUACUGCUAUUUGAAAAGAAUAUGAGCAAUGAUUUUGACCUAAUUCUACAGAGGGUAAGUGUCAGGUCUCAACUGACAAAAUUUUUUGUGCUAAUGAAGGCUCACCUUCAAAGAAAGCCCCAGUGACUUAUGAGUUUAUCUCCAUCGGGGCUGGUCAUAGCUCUAUUUCCUCAGCACUUUAGCUGAAGAAAUAUAUUUAAACUGAUAGAUCAAUGCAGUGAUGUGUUACACCUUACAGGAUGAGCUAGCUAUGGUAAUGUACAUAUUCAAGAAAGGUCUCUGUUCUGAGGAGGCAUUUAGAAUUCAAAAAGAUUUGCCUGUGUUUCACUGAGUUGACUGGAUUUGAUAGGCAGUGAUAAGUACAAGGACAGAGGAUCAGUGAGUGACCGGGCCAAGGAAGCUUUUAGCUUCCAGUUUUCUACAAUUGUCACAGGAUACUUAAAAUUCUUGUACACUCAAUAAGUUGUUUUCUUUUCCUUAAACAACACGUUGAAGAAAAAAGAAAAAAAAUACUGAAAAGUUUUCUAGUCAAACUAUAUACUACUGAAGAUGGCUAGAGUACUAUAUAUUUGAAAAUAAAUUUGAAAAAUUGUUUCCUUAUUCAAAAUAAAUGUACAUCAUUUGCUGGAAGUAACAAGUUGCUACAUAGCAGAAAUAUCAAGCUCCCACAGCCUGCUAGUGAUUUACAUAGGUAGAAUAGAAGUCAGUACUGUAAUGCACUUUGAAGAUGCAUAAGCAAAAUAUAAAUGCUUAAUAUUCUUUGUGCUAAAAUACAAAUAGGGAUACCCGUUCCUGAUGUUUCAGUGAAGCUGCAGGAAGCAUUCUGUAAAUGCCGUUGCUUUAAAGUUGGUUUGGGUAUGGAGUCUCUUUGGUAUUAUCUUACAAAAUUAAACAGUACCAGUUUACGUGCUCAUUGUCCUUUAAAGAACAGGAGUAACAGCUACUGCAGCUUGCUCUUGUGUGAAGAAAACACAAAAAUCAGUAUUAUGAAGGGCUGAUACAUGCAUGGAAACCUGAGCUGCCUCAUUUUGAUAGACACGCAUGAGUGAUACUGCUAAUAUCCCUUACAAGCAUGUACAACUGGAAGCCUCAAGGACUUUUUAUAGCUAUGAAGUGGCAAAGCAACUGGUAAGACACAUUAGCCAGUUAAACAUUUUAAAGGGUAAUGAUGGAUACGGAGAAGAUAAGACACAAAAUGGUUACAAGCCAUCUUCAUGCAAGAAUAAAAAUUAGUAUCAGAUUAAAGAAAAAAUUACAGUACAGCAUGUUCUCAAUUCACUGAUAAGUCAAACAAUCCAUGAAUGAAGAAAAUUUAGCAGGUGAACACGUGAAAAGAAGGAAUAUAUUUGGUAGUUUAUAGGGACCAAGGCUACAGUGGAAGAAUACAGAAAUCGAGUUUGGCAUUAAGACUGUCUUCAAAGUAGGACAAUUCAACAAAGACACUUUAAUUCUAAAGUCUCAGGUUGAGAAUAAAGCACCCAAGUCCACAUUUCUGAGAGUCACUAGGUACAGUGGUUGAGAAAACAAAACUACAUUAAUUGCACUAACAGGAACCUGCUCCUAAAGCAAGUCUGAAACUGUUGUCACCUGGUAUCUCUCUCUCACCAUAUAAAUAAAAUUUAGUGUUUAUCUCACAGAAACAUUAUUUAAGCCUUUAAAGAAAUGUUUUUAAUUUUUGUGAACUAUGGAUUAAAUCUCUUAAGCAUAUGUGUAGCAUUAUGAUCCACUGUAAUGUUCUCUGCAUUUAUUUAUGUAAAAUUAAUGCUGUUUACUAAGCAAGAAGGGUCUGUACAUGUAUGCGGCUGAACACCUGAGAACUGAGUGGAUACCAGACUUAUCUCAUCUCUGAAUACAUAUAGCAGCUCUCUUACAAAUGCACUUUUUAAAAAGAGUCUUAUUAAGUCUUAUAAUACAGACAAAAAUACAAAUAAAAAAGAAAUAUAGGAAAAAAGUCAAGUCUACUUCUUGAGCAUAUUUAUUAAAUGUGUCUGAAAUAGUCAUUCUGAUUUCCUCUGCCACUUAAAUGAUUAGCAAUUUCUGGGUAAACUCAUGCUGAAUUACACAUAAUGAUCAUAGAGCAAAAAACUUCUCCUAUGCUGCAGAACAGGAAAGAAUACAAACCCUGUUAAGUAGGCUCAAGUGUACUGUAAUGACACCAAGUUUAAUACUUACUCCUAAAUUAUCUGUCAAAACCCACCUCCUAAGCUCUCUAGAAAGUGCUGUUUGCAGAGUUGCCUAUCGGGAACUUUAAGCUGCAGCUCUCCUAUAAGAACUGUUUUGGUUUUUUUUUUUUCUGUGUGGUAGACUGUCUUGUAGGCAGGGAAAAUGGAGGAAAAAUAAUGAAAAUCAACAAAGUCACAAUUCUGUUAAGUCCUGCAAAAAUUAAUGCAGAGGAUUCUAAUCUGUUAUAGUUAAAGCAAUGCACUCCAAACAAACAGAAUAUAUUUCCAUGUCACCACUCCACCUCUGAAACUCAUAUGAAACCCAGAAGAGAUGGGAGACUUCUGCAUUAUGAAGUUCAACAGGUUUAUUGAAAUUUCUUCAGAUACGGCAAAAUCAGAAGUCUCAUGAUGACCUAUAUUUUCCACAAGUUGGUCCCACUUAGACUGCCAAACUGCUGAAAGCUCACAUAGAAAUAUUUAAAACUUUAUACUUGGGCAGAAACAGGGAGAUGUGCACACUGCUAAUCACAGUGCAGUAUGGGCAUUCUAGUGGAUGCAAGUUCACUCUCAGAGUUGAUAAAGUAGAAAAUCAACAAGUAAAGCAGCACUAGGCUUCCCAGAGAGAUUAUUAACUUCCCAUUUACUUGCUGCAGAACUAUCUACCUGAACAACAAUCUCGUACUUCUAACAGAUUAUAUUCUUAAACCACAUAAAAGUGGAUCAUGUUACUGGCAUACACUGUAUAACUAAGGUUCUUAAGACUUUCAUCUGGGUUAAUAAGCAUGACUGCAGAUAAAGUAUUAUUUAAAUGAAGUUCGAAAAUCAAAUAACUUGACUAUUGUUAAAUCUGAUGUCUGUUUUUAAUUGCUGACUUUAGAAUAUACCCCAAAAAAUCCUUGUGCUCUUCAAAGUGUAGUUUUACUGUAUCCAAAGGUCCUGAGGGAUUUGCACGCAUUCCUUACCAGCUUGAUAAAUCCAUCAUAAAUUUCUCCUUGCACUGAACUGAUGUGAGGUGGUUAAGCAUUACAUAUGUGAGGGUACAAGAAAAAAUUUCUAUGUUUCUGCCGAAGUGCAGUCACUAAAGUAAAUGUUUUUAGAAGCAUAUGAAUUCAAAAGUGAUGGCCAGAAUAGAUCAAUAUGUCUGACUCUUUCUCCUGUGCAACACACGCUUUACCCUGACUGCUAAAGACUAUGACUUGUUUAAGCAAACCACAUUGA